rnacentral:lncRNA from 14 species
UGUUCUGUUCUGAUGUUACCCCUUGUGUUCUUUUGUGAAGUGUAUUUCAGCUCAUCAUUCAUUUGGCUGAAGGGAAGCUGUUCCAAUGGCCUCAGAAAAGCAAAGUGAGGAUACAAAGCACCUGUCUGAGCUCCCUGCAGCUCCUCUUCUGAGUGGCAGAACAUUUCAAUGGGGAGCUAUACUUGCUGCAGUGAAAGAUCAGCUCCCAUCUCUGGACUCUGAUGACUCCACACCUGACUGUGACAGUGAUGGGGAGCUUUUCAUCUUCCAGCGGGAACAGCCAAACUUAAUUCCUGACCUGUCAGAGGACCUGAUGGAGUUUUCCCUGGAAGACUCAAACAUGCAGCAAACUCAGGGAACAGAAAGCCAUCCAUGGGAGAUCUGUAAUGGAGAUCGAGAAAGCUUUGGGUUUCAGAAAAAAACAGAUGGUGCCCAAGUCAUUGCAAAAGAUGAUGUACAAGUGAUUAAAGUUGAUACUCUCAGUCUUCCCAGCUAUACUGAAGAAAUGCCAAACAAAAAGGCAGCUGUUGGUGAAGAGUCUCUUGCAGAUUCCACAGAUUGCCUUAAAGGGGAAGAACUGGACAGGACACAGGUGAGGGAAAGACAGACCUCUUGGCUUAAUAAAACAUUGUCUGUGGAGGACUUGAUCAACUGGAAAGAGGGAAGAAAACUGACAGAGACAAAAAUACUCUCCAAAAUAAUCCUGGAGCCAUCACGAGGCCACUCAGAGCCAGGUGUCAAGCCUUCUUCCCAUGGUGUUAGCAACAGUCUAGAAAAAACUGAUAAGGAAGAAAACUCCUCAGAUCAUCUUCAAGGAUCAACCCAUCUGUCACUGCAGAGUAUUGAGAAACGGGAUCUAGACAAGAUUCUUGAGGAGGUGGAGCAGCAGAAAGAUAACACUCAUGCAGAAGUUGCUUUCUCCUCAGCAGAUCAUGGCACCUUCAGGAGUAAAUAUGAAAAUCAGCUCAUGGAAAAGCUAAAAGAGCUGUGUGCCAGGCAGUCUAGGACCGUGUCUCCAUAUUGCAAGUGGCCACCAGCCAAGCUCUCCUUCCAAGAACAUCAGGAGAAUAAGGAUGUUGCCUUGCUAUCAUCUCCACGAAGUUCUUCAAGGAUGGAUAUGGUGAGCUUACAGGGCCUGCCAGACCCUGCAACUGUGUACAUUGACCUGAGAGAUGCUAAACCACAGAAGUCAGUAACGUUCCCUGAUGAGCAACAAAGCACAAGUGACAGCUCCACUGAAGAAGAAGAGACUAUGACAACUGAGGACCAAGCAGAAAGGAGAAGGAGGAAUUGUUCAGCGAAAAGCCUGCUACUCCAACAACUCCAUAGAGCCCAUAAAGAAGCCUCAGAGAUUUCUCAUGAAACAUCUAUCCCAGCUGAAAAACUUGAAGGAAUAAAACAGGAUCCAGAAAGUCUGGAAGAGAUAGGUUCAUCUGAAAUAAAUCAAAGCCCAUAUUCUGAAGUGAUGCAAGAGACAAGUAAGGCAAUUCCCAGGAUGAGAUUGGAACCAGGGAAGACAAAUGCCCCCUUGUCGAGCCAUGGGAGUAAUGGAACUGACAUAGAGAAAGAAACCAAAAUGGAAACUGAGAAGGUUCAAGAUUCAGGAAAUUUCCCAGAGCCUCCUCUCACUACACCAGAAUUGCCAAGGACAGAAGAAAGUAAAAAAGAGCUAUCCCAAAAGGAAGAACAAAUGAAAGAGAGACGCAGGAGACACAGAUUCCAGGAGCAGCUGGAGAGAUUGCAGCCUCAGCAGUCAGUUACUGGAAAGCAGCCCAUGGCAGAGAAUACCCCUGUUUUGUUCCACAUGGUUUCUCAGCCAAAUUGCUGCAGAUGCGCUCAGAACCAGGAAACCCCCUUCCAUACUGAAUGCAACAGGAGCACUAAAAAGCCAUAGAGAAACUUCAAUUUAAACUUCCACAUGGAGACACAUUCUGAUGGCUUCACAGGGGCUCCCAUCUCUCUCCGUUGCACUUUCCAGCUGCAGAAUUAAUUGAACAGUCAAGUCUUUACCAAGAAAUUGGUGCUUUCAGUGCUGUUUCUCUGUUUGGAGUUUGAAAUGGCCCCAGGAAAUGUGAAAUAUUUAAUCCUUUAUAUUCCUUGGCAUAUCUUGGAGUUGAUUAAAAUGAGUUUAGGCUUAUUCUUAAAUAUCCUUAUGCAUGAUCUUGACAGAUGGGAACAUUUGUUGCUGUUGCUUAAGGGAAAGGUUAAUAUGUGUAAAAAGAAUAUAGCUUCCAGAAUCACAUGCAUGAACUUGCUGCCAGUAAAGGUCCUAAAUACUCCUCCAUUCACAUAAGCAGGGUGGGUUCAGAGUAAACUUGAAGACAAUAAUGUAAAUGCUUACAGUCUAAAUUCUAUUUCUCAUUUAGAAGAGGUGAGCAGGAAGACAGAAAACCAUUUCUGUACGUUUUGUCUCUUCAGGUCUUGCUCUUGCCAGGUCCAGCAUUUGUUGGCAGAAGAAAUAGCUUCUUUAAGUUUGCAGUGUGUAUGAACAAAUGCCAGUCACGUUUAAUUAUACAGAGAAAUGCUUUCUGCUAUGAGUUUCUCUCUUGAUCUCAGAAUGGAAGUCACAACUCCUGGCCUAACCUCAAGGCUGUGAGCAGUGAUGCUAUUUGUAGAUGAAAGGAGACUGGAUCUGUCCCUUUGUGUUUUGAGGGGAUAUACAUGCUUGUAUGACACAGCCACACUACUUUUAAAUAAACUAUAUAAUUUCAGAUACA